rnacentral:ribozyme from 12 species
ACUACUUGUUUUCUCUCCUUUUUUUCACUUUUUUGUUUUUCUAAAUUGUUGUCAUGUUU